UACGUAGGGGGCAAGCGUUGUCCGGAAUUAUUGGGCGUAAAGCGCGUGUAGGCGGCUUUGCAAGUCGGGUGUGAAAGCCCUCAGCUCAACUGAGGAAGUGCGCCCGAAACUGCAGAGCUUGAGUACCGGAGAGGAUGGCGGAAUUCCCCAAGUAGAGGUGAAAUUCGUAGAUAUGGGGAGGAACACCGGUGGCGAAGGCGGCCAUCUGGACGGAUACUGACGCUGAGACGCGAAAGCGUGGGGAGCAAACAGG
rnacentral:rRNA from 1 species